AAUCUUCAGAGCUGGCUAAGCUUCCUGGUUAGGCCAUCUCUGCAACUCUCUUUGCCUCUGAUACUGGAGUUGAAGUCUACAGGAGAGGAGUCAGGAAGGAAAAUUGGAGGUCCCACAACAGGGCAAGAAUGACAGGAGGUGUGCACACAGAUACAUUUCAAGGCAGGCAUGGUGGUGUCUGCCUUUAGCUCUGCUCACAUCUCAUUGGUCCAAAUUCAACUAGAGUCCCCAAGUCGACAGCAAGGGAAGCUCGGCAACGUGGAGCAGCCCGUGAAUGUUUGGAGAAUCCUACUCAUUUCGCCACAGUUAUUCUAAUCAAUUAAAUAGAAGAUAUGUGUUUGACCUUAACUAAUGUCAGGCUCUGUUCCUGGUGUUACAUCUAUUAACCCACUAAUCCCCACUUAACUCUAUGACAUAAAGACAUUUACAACC
rnacentral:lncRNA from 10 species